rnacentral:rRNA from 1 species
UGACCUCAAAUCAGGGAGGACUACCCGCUGAACUUAAGCAUAU